rnacentral:misc_RNA from 1 species
GCAUUCACCCUGGUGCCGAUGAUGAAAACUCUCGACUAACCGCAACUCUCUAAGCAAAAGAGUAGCGGAGCACUCAUGCAUCACUGUACAUAUCGUGGACUUCGUUAAUAUCUUUCUUAAACAUAUGCUUGUCCGCUUCGGAAAGACAAAUGUGUACACACGCUGAUAACUCUAAUUACAAUGGAUCUCUUACGUUCAUCAAGGUGUUGGACUUCAAUACAAAAGAACACAUGCACAGUGAAAUUUGCGACAGAGAUUAUAUCGCGGGACUAUACUAUCGGACGUGACCUUACUUUUUCUAAAAUGAUGAGAUCUGAUUCAAGGGAGAUUUCACUGAUAUUUCUACUAAACCAAGCUACCGUGGAGUGAUAUAUUCAUUGCAUCGAUUUUCAUUGGAUAACUCUUAAAAUGAAAACACUUAUGGCACACGUAGUUUCCAGAGUUAUUAUUUAUUU